GCCGCCGUAGGUCAUGGAGGCCGCCUGCUGAAACUUAAUUGACUUGAAAGCGGGCCGCGGAGGUUCGAUUCUUCCCGGCGGCA